rnacentral:rRNA from 1 species
AACAGGAUUAGAUACCCUGGUAGUCCACGCCGUAAACGAUGUCGACUUGGAGGUUGUGCCCUUGAGGCGUGGCUUCCGGAGCUAACGCGUUAAGUCGACCGCCUGGGGAGUACGGCCGCAAGGUUAAAACUCAAAUGAAUUGACGGGGGCCCGCACAAGCGGUGGAGCAUGUGGUUUAAUUCGAUGCAACGCGAAGAACCUUACCUGGUCUUGACAUCCACAGAACUUUCCAGAGAUAGCUUAGUGCCUUCGGGAACUCUGAGACAGGUGCUGCAUGGCUGUCGUCAGCUCGUGUUGUGAAAUGUUGGGUUAAGUCCCGCAACGAGCGCAACCCUUAUCCUUUGUUGCCAGCACGUAAUGGUGGGAACUCAAAGGAGACUGCCGGUGAUAAACCGGAGGAAGGUGGGGAUGACGUCAAGUCAUCAUGGCCCUUACGAGUAGGGCUACACACGUGCUACAAUGGCAUAUACAAAGAGAAGCGAACUCGCGAGAGCAAGCGGACCUCAUAAAGUAUGUCGUAGUCCGGAUUGGAGUCUGCAACUCGACUCCAUGAAGUCGGAAUCGCUAGUAAUCGUAGAUCAGAAUGCUACGGUGAAUACGUUCCCGGGCCUUGUACACACCGCCCGUCACACCAUGGGAGUGGGUUGCAAAAGAAGUAGGUAGCUUAACCUUCGGGAGGGCGCUUACCACUUUGUGAUUCAUGACUGGGGUGAAGUCGUAACAAGGUAACC